CAUGGCUCAGGACAAACGCUGGCGGCAUGCCUAACACAUGCAAGUCGAACGGACAGAACAGGGAAGCUUUUCGGAGUGGAACUGGAAAGUUAGUGGCGGAUGGGUGAGUAACGCGUGGACAACCUACCUUGUAAAGGGGAAUAACCUCGAGAAAUCGAAGCUAAUACCCCAUAAUAACCUUGCUUCGCAUGAAGUAAGGAGGAAAGGCGGCCUUAGCGCUGUCGAUACAAGAUGGGUCCGCGUCUGAUUAGCUAGUUGGUGAGGUAAAGGCUCACCAAGGCGACGAUCAGUAGCCGGCCUGAGAGGGUGAACGGCCACAUUGGGACUGAGACACGGCCCAAACUCCUACGG
rnacentral:rRNA from 1 species